CAUCGUUCAAAGAAAUUGAGACAAGAUCUUCAAUUGGCUCAUCCCGUUCUUCAGCAAGGUCAUCGUGGGUGUCCAAUCCAUCAAUCGGACAGGGGUCAGACUGACCAUUUCUUUGUAAGGCUAUGUUAUAGUAGUGUCUUGCCAGGAUUUGAUCUCCUCUGACCUCUUCGACCCCUUGGCUUGUAGAAAAUUUCAACUUCAAAUGGUAGGU
rnacentral:lncRNA from 1 species